rnacentral:rRNA from 1 species
GGUGAAAAGCACCCCGGAAGGGGAGUGAAAUAGAACCUGAAACCGUGUGCUUACAAGUAGUCAGAGCCCGUUAAUGGGUGAUGGCGUGCCUUUUGUAGAAUGAACCGGCGAGUUACGAUUUGAUGCAAGGUUAAGCAGUAAAUGUGGAGCCGUAGCGAAAGCGAGUCUGAAUAGGGCGUUUAGUAUUUGGUCGUAGACCCGAAACCAGGUGAUCUACCCUUGGUCAGGUUGAAGUUCAGGUAACACUGAAUGGAGGACCGAACCGACUUACGUUGAAAAGUGAGCGGAUGAACUGAGGGUAGCGGAGAAAUUCCAAUCGAACCUGGAGAUAGCUGGUUCUCUCCGAAAUAGCUUUAGGGCUAGCCUCAAGUGAUGAUUAUUGGAGGUAGAGCACUGUUUGGACGAGGGGCCCCUCUCGGGUUACCGAAUUCAGACAAACUCCGAAUGCCAAUUAAUUUAACUUGGGAGUCAGAACAUGGGUGAUAAGGUCCGUGUUCGAAAGGGAAACAGCCCAGACCACCAGCUAAGGUCCCAAAAUAUAUGUUAAGUGGAAAAGGAUGUGGCGUUGCCCAGACAACUAGGAUGUUGGCUUAGAAGCAGCCAUCAUUUAAAGAGUGCGUAAUAGCUCACUAGUCGAGUGACACUGCGCCGAAAAUGUACCGGGGCUAAACAUAUUACCGAAGCUGUGGAUUGUCCUUUGGACAAUGGUAGGAGAGCGUUCUAAGGGCGUUGAAGCAUGAUCGUAAGGACAUGUGGAGCGCUUAGAAGUGAGAAUGCCGGUGUGAGUAGCGAAAGACGGGUGAGAAUCCCGUCCACCGAUUGACUAAGGUUUCCAGAGGAAGGCUCGUCCGCUCUGGGUUAGUCGGGUCCUAAGCUGAGGCCGACAGGCGUAGGCGAUGGAUAACAGGUUGAUAUUCCUGUACCACCUAUAAUCGUUUUAAUCGAUGGGGGGACGCAGUAGGAUAGGCGAAGCGUGCGAUUGGAUUGCACGUCUAAGCAGUAAGGCUGAGUAUUAGGCAAAUCCGGUACUCAUUAAGGCUGAGCUGUGAUGGGGAGAAGACAUUGUGUCUUCGAGUCGUUGAUUUCACACUGCCGAGAAAAGCCUCUAGAUAGAAAAUAGGUGCCCGUACCGCAAACCGACACAGGUAGUCAAGAUGAGAAUUCUAAGGUGAGCGAGCGAACUCUCGUUAAGGAACUCGGCAAAAUGACCCCGUAACUUCGGGAGAAGGGGUGCUCUUUAGGGUUAACGCCCAGAAGAGCCGCAGUGAAUAGGCCCAAGCGACUGUUUAUCAAAAACACAGGUCUCUGCUAAACCGUAAGGUGAUGUAUAGGGGCUGACGCCUGCCCGGUGCUGGAAGGUUAAGAGGAGUGGUUAGCUUCUGCGAAGCUACGAAUCGAAGCCCCAGUAAACGGCGGCCGUAACUAUAACGGUCCUAAGGUAGCGAAAUUCCUUGUCGGGUAAGUUCCGACCCGCACGAAAGGCGUAACGAUUUGGGCACUGUCUCAACGAGAGACUCGGUGAAAUCAUAGUACCUGUGAAGAUGCAGGUUACCCGCGACAGGACGGAAAGACCCCGUGGAGCUUUACUGUAGCCUGAUAUUGAAAUUCGGCACAGCUUGUACAGGAUAGGUAGGAGCCUUUGAAACGUGAGCGCUAGCUUACGUGGAGGCGCUGGUGGGAUACUACCCUAGCUGUGUUGGCUUUCUAACCCGCACCACUUAUCGUGGUGGGAGACAGUGUCAGGCGGGCAGUUUGACUGGGGCGGUCGCCUCCUAAAAGGUAACGGAGGCGCUCAAAGGUUCCCUCAGAAUGGUUGGAAAUCAUUCAUAGAGUGUAAAGGCAUAAGGGAGCUUGACUGCGAGACCUACAAGUCGAGCAGGGUCGAAAGACGGACUUAGUGAUCCGGUGGUUCCGCAUGGAAGGGCCAUCGCUCAACGGAUAAAAGCUACCCCGGGGAUAACAGGCUUAUCUCCCCCAAGAGUUCACAUCGACGGGGAGGUUUGGCACCUCGAUGUCGGCUCAUCGCAUCCUGGGGCUGUAGUCGGUCCCAAGGGUUGGGCUGUUCGCCCAUUAAAGCGGUACGCGAGCUGGGUUCAGAACGUCGUGAGACA